rnacentral:rRNA from 1 species
AUUGAACGCUGGCGGCAUGCCUUACACAUGCAAGUCGAACGGCAGCACGGGGCAACCUGGUGGCGAGUGGCGAACGGGUGAGUAAUGCAUCGGAACGUACCUUUCAGUGGGGGAUAACGUAGCGAAAGUUACGCUAAUACCGCAUAUUCUGUGAGCAGGAAAGCAGGGGAUCGCAAGACCUUGCGCUGAUUGAGCGGCCGAUGUCAGAUUAGCUAGUUGGUGAGGUAAAGGCUCACCAAGGCGACGAUCUGUAGCGGGUCUGAGAGGAUGAUCCGCCACACGGGAACUGAGACACGGUCCAGACUCCUACGGGAGGCAGCAGUGGGGAAUUUUGGACAAUGGGGGCAACCCUGAUCCAGCCAUGCCGCGUGAGUGAAGAAGGCCUUCGGGUUGUAAAGCUCUUUCGGCCGGGAAGAAAUCGCACGGGCUAAUACCCUGUGUGGAUGACGGUACCGGAAUAAGAAGCACCGGCUAACUACGUGCCAGCCGCCGCAGUAAUAC